GCGUCUGUGCGUUAGCCGGACGCCGCUAGAGAGCGGCGGUUUCGUAAACCGCAGGCCGGGGGUUCAAUACCCUCCAGUGGCUCCA
rnacentral:tRNA from 1 species